rnacentral:rRNA from 1 species
GACGAACGCUGGCGGCGUGCUUAACACAUGCAAGUCGAACGGCAAGGCCCUGCUUUUGUGGGGUGCUCGAGUGGCGAACGGGUGCGUAACACGUGAGUAACCUGCCCUUGACUUUGGGAUAACUUCAGGAAACUGGGGCUAAUACCGGAUAGCAUCUCCUGCUGCAUGGUGGGGGUUGGAACGUUUCGGCGGUUGGGGAUGGACUCGCGGCUUAUCAGCUUGUUGGUGGGGUAGUGGCUUACCAAGGCUUUGACGGGUAGCCGGCCUGAGAGGGUGACCGGCCACAUUGGGACUGAGAGACGGCCCAGACUCCUACGGGAGGCAGAAGUGGGGAAUAUUGCACAAUGGGCGGAAGCCUGAUGCAGAAACGCCGCGUGCGGGAUGACGGCCUGCGGGGUGUAAACCGCUUUCGCCUGUGACGAAGCGUGAGUGACGGUAAUGGGUAAAGAAGCACCGGCUAACUACGUG